rnacentral:rRNA from 1 species
UACGUAGGGUCCGAGCGUUGUCCGGAAUUACUGGGCGUAAAGAGCUCGUAGGUGGUUUGUCGCGUUGUUCGUGAAAACUCACAGCUCAACUGUGGGCGUGCGGGCGAUACGGGCAGACUAGAGUACUGCAGGGGAGACUGGAAUUCCUGGUGUAGCGGUGGAAUGCGCAGAUAUCAGGAGGAACACCGGUGGCGAAGGCGGGUCUCUGGACAGUUCCGUGACGGCUGA